UACGGGGGGAGCAAGCGUUGUUCGGAUUUACUGGGCGUAAAGGGCGCGUAGGCGGCCACCGCAAGUCGGUUGUGAAAUCUCUGGGCUUAACCCAGAAAGGUCAACCGAUACUGCGGGGCUAGAGUGCAGAAGGGGCAACUGGAAUUCUCGGUGUAGCGGUGAAAUGCGUAGAUAUCGAGAGGAACACCUGCGGCGAAGGCGGGUAGCUGGGCCGACACGUGACGCUGAGGCGCGAAAGCCAGGGGAGCGAACGGG
rnacentral:rRNA from 1 species